rnacentral:rRNA from 1 species
ACACAUGCAGUCGAACGGUGAAGCAGAGCUUGCUCUGUGGAUCAGUGGCGAACGGGUGAGUAACACGUGAGCAACCUGCCCCUGACUCUGGGAUAAGCGCUGGAAACGGCGUCUAAUACCGGAUAUGAGCUGCGAUCGCAUGGUCAGCAGUUGGAAAGAUUUUUCGGUCUGGGAUGGGCUCACGGCCUAUCAGCUUGUUGGUGAGGUAAUGGCUCACCAAGGCGUCGACGGGUAGCCGGCCUGAGAGGGUGACCGGCCACACUGGGACUGAGACACGGCCCAGACUCCUACGGGAGGCAGCAGUGGGGAAUAUUGCACAAUGGGCGAAAGCCUGAUGCAGCAACGCCGCGUGAGGGAUGACGGCCUUCGGGUUGUAAACCUCUUUUAGCAGGGAAGAAGCGAAAGUGACGGUACCUGCAGAAAAAGCGCCGGCUAACUACGUGCCAGCAGCCGCGGUAAUACGUAGGGCGCAAGCGUUAUCCGGAAUUAUUGGGCGUAAAGAGCUCGUAGGCGGUUUGUCGCGUCUGCUGUGAAAUCCCGAGGCUCAACCUCGGGUCUGCAGUGGGUACGGGCAGACUAGAGUGCGGUAGGGGAGAUUGGAAUUCCUGGUGUAGCGGUGGAAUGCGCAGAUAUCAGGAGGAACACCGAUGGCGAAGGCAGAUCUCUGGGCCGUUACUGACGCUGAGGAGCGAAAGGGUGGGGAGCAAACAGGC